AGAGUUUGAUUAUGGCUCAGGAUGAACGCUGGCGGCGUGCUUAACACAUGCAAGUCGAACGAGGGUUACUGGUUGAAGUUUCGGAUGGAAACCGGUAAUUCCUAGUGGCGGACGGGUGAGUAACGCGUGGGGAACCUGCCCCGCUCCGGGGGAUACCAGCUGGAAACGGCUGUUAAUACCGCAUAAGCGCACAGCAUUGCAUGAUGCAGUGUGAAAAACUCCGGUGGAACGGGAUGGCCCCGCGUCUGAUUAGCCAGUUGGCAGGGUAACGGCCUACCAAAGCGACGAUCAGUAGCCGGCCUGAGAGGGCGACCGGCCACAUUGGGACUGAGACACGGCCCAAACUCCUACGGGAGGCAGCAGUGGGGAAUCUUCCGCAAUGGGCGCAAGCCUGACGGAGCAACGCCGCGUGAGUGAGGAAGUUCUUCGGAACGUAAAGCUCUGUUGUUCCUGACGAACCUCCCUUCUAUCAACAACGGAAGGGACUGACGGUAGGGAACGAGGAAGCCACGGCUAACUACGUGCCAGCCGCCGC
rnacentral:rRNA from 1 species